CCCUUAGAUGUUCUGGGCCGCACGCGCGCUACACUGACGAUGUCAGAGAGUGUCUCCUUCACCGAGAGGUGUGGGUAAUCUUUUAAACAUCGUCGUGCUGGGGAUAGAUCAUUGCAAUUUUUGAUCUUAAACGAGGAAUUCCUAGUAAGUGCGAGUCAUCAGCUCGCGCUGAUUACGUCCCUGCCCUUUGUACACACCGCCCGUCGCUACUCCCGAUUGAAUGGUUUAGUGAGGCCUUCUGACUGGCGCCGCUACUCUGGCAACAGAGCGGCGGAUGCCGGGAAGUUGGUCAAACUUGAUCAUUUAGAGGAAGUAAAAGUCGUAACA
rnacentral:rRNA from 1 species